CCCGCCCUGGGAGCAGAGGUCCUGGAGCGGCACCAGCAGCUGCCAAAGGGCAUCUUGCGAGGCGAGGUCUGGCGGAGGUCCUGCGCAGACUUAGGAGACACGGCUGGACUCGUGACUCGGCUGCAGGUGACGCCAGGGAGACUCAGUACGCGCUCCGAGGCGCAGUCCCGGGCUGGCCCGGCGCCACUGGGCAGAGGGUCAGACUAAAAAGAGAACUCUAAAGGCAGCUGUCAAGAUGGAAAUCGAUCCAAGUUUUAAAAAAAGAUGCCGUGGCAGAAAGUUACAAGAAAGGGAGGCCGAUCAUCAAGGAGGAACCGUCAUCCUUCUGAUGGAGAGUGGCCCGUCGUUUCCAGAAUUUUGGUCCCUGAUUUAUUAAUCCCUCCCCACACCCCCCACAGGACCAGAGCACUGCACGUUUAUCUUCGGCACAUUUGUCAGAUCUGUGAUCUGCCUGUUAAGACCGCUGAUGACAAUCCAGUCUUUUUAUCUGUCUCCCGACGUCCCCUACAAAGGCUUCUGUUUAAAAGUGUGUUAGCAUGCUCCUUGCAGCAUCCUCCAAAUGCCACUUGCUGGCUCUCAGGCAGCUAAUGAGACACAUCCCAUGUCUGGCAGAACGGGGGUGUGAAUUCUCUCCAGACCUGCGUCCCGCCUUGUGACAUGGGCCAGGUGGCCUUGAAAUAAAAAGAGAAAGAUUGGCACCUGA